ensembl:lncRNA
AUAUAUAUAUAUAUAUUUUUUACUCUGAUAAGUUACGGCACACAGGUUUACUGACUCAUGAAACAUUUACGGGUUACUGCAUUUAAGAACAGCGUGGUCUCAAGACGGCUGCAUAGACCCACCACUAUUGACCUUUUGUAUGUACUGGUCUUCAUUUCUCUUUACAAUAGAUUGGUUUAUGUACAAAUGAUUAAGGAAAGGAACUUCAACUUGGUUGCACUACACCGUUUUUUAGGAUUGGUUAAUUUAAUGCGCAUGGCUGAAGCAAUGCGCAAGGAGGGAUGUAGUGUGAAUAUUAAAUCAAGGUUGAAGGUUGAAAUCAGCUCAGAAUAAGGAAUGGGACUCUCAAAACAAAAAUUUAAAAUCCGUACAAGCACUAUCAAUUAUAAUACAAACAUAUUUGAAACGCAUACAAUUUUCAGGUCCAAUGUUUCCAGAAGCAAGAUGAGUACCGUGUAUCACUCUGACACAGCUAACUUUGCACGUAAUGCUUACGGUUAGAUUCAUGCUUACACUUACAUUUCAAGGGUCCAAUAAUGGACUUCCAUUAGAACAAUUAAAAAUAGAAUUAUAGGAAAUAUGUUUUUGAACAACUAACUGCUGUACAUGAGUUUGUAUUUCUACAAUAGAAACAAAAGUUCCAGAACCAGAUGCAGACACACCCGGAGCCUAUAAAACUACGUCCGCCGAGCAAGGAGUAACAGUCACAUGAGCUCCGGAUGGGUUGGUGACCAGGGCGCUGGUAUAAUUACAAUCCCUCAGGCCACCUGUUGCUGACACGACGACGAUGGAGAACCUGUUUGGAGGCUCCCAUGAUGUAAAAGUAACCUCUCUGAGCUGAACCCUUGACAAGGAGGGACGAGUCUUGGGUUCAUGAAUUACAGGCCCGACGGCGACAGAAGAAAAAAUGGCUAAUAACAACGCCCCCAAACCACCCACAUGCAAUACACGAAGAUCACCUGAACCACCCAAAUCCAUGCUAGCCUAUCAACAAUUUUGAAUUUUUAAAAUUGUAUUAUGAACAAUUUUUACUUUACUUUUGCACAUGUUGAAAAUUGUAUUACCUUGUAGCACAUAACCAAAAGUAUUAGCUCAGGAUUUCUAUGGAUAGUUUUGUUUGUGUGCUGUUUGACCAUAUGAUUGUAUGAUAACCAGGAUACAUGUACAUUGUUGUAUUGUUAAUAUGAUUUGUAUUACCUAUGAGACCCAUCAGGGCAAAUGCCGUUACACUGUGAUGUGGUAAUCCGUGGUGGUUUUUGCUCGGUAAAAACCGAGUUUUCCCACUCGGUUGGUGGUGUUGAUGAAUUAUCCUACUUUGACUAUGUUUUCGGUGUGGUAAAUGGUUUUUAUGAUUUAAAAUAUUAUUGUAUGGUCAUCUAAGAUGACCAAGGAGGGAUUGUUACGUAUUUUAAGAAUCUAAGCUACCCACACAUAGACCCAAUGAAGCAGGACCAAACAUAUAAGCCGUAAAUACUAUACAUAGCCACUAGGGGAGCAAGACCUUAUUGAAGGCGGCUCCACCACAGAAGGCAUCACCUGAAGAAGCCGAAGCCACCACGCCCACUAGGCCACGCCCACUUGACGGUCCCUUACCUGUGCACACUAGGUGAAGGGGCCAGAGAUUUUCAGCGACACCCGCGAAGGUUCACGGGCCUCUGCCCGUGGCCCAUAGUAGCCAGAGUUAUUAUCUCUCACACGUGUUCUACACGAUUCCUAGACUUUCGUUCCAUAGCCAGUUACCAUGCCGAAACAUGCAGACUUUAACAAUAAACUGAGUUAAAAGCAAUCCCGGAUUUUGAACCUUUCCUUGAAGAAAUACGUAAUAGAGGCUAAACUUAUGUUGAUGUUGAAAUUAACUGCCCCCAGUAGUCUUUCUUAAAUGUGAAGUUGGCAUUUUCUUUUCUUAUGGUGUAUUUUAUGUGCUUAUUAACCAGCAAUAAAUGAAUUCAUUUAUAUUCAAAUAA